GAGUAAGAAGCGAUUAAUUGCACUCAGUUUCGACCUGAUCCUAGAUAAUAAUUAUCCUUACUCU
rnacentral:tRNA from 1 species